rnacentral:rRNA from 1 species
CAGCCGCCGCGGGAAUACAGAGGGUUCGAGCGUUAAUCGGAUUUACUGGGCGUAAAGCGUGCGUAGGCGGCUAAUUGAGUCGGAUGUGAAAUCCCCGAGCUUAACUUGGGAAUUGCAUUCGAUACUGGUUAGCUAGAGUGUGGGAGAGGAUGGUAGAAUUCCAGGUGUAGCGGUGAAAUGCGUAGAGAUCUGGAGGAAUACCGAUGGCGAAGGCAGCCAUCUGGCCUAACACUGACGCUGAGGUACGAAAGCAUGGGGAGCAAACAGGAUUAGAGACCCCAGUAGUCCCUGUCUCUUAUAC